AUUGAACGCUGGCGGCAGGCCUAACACAUGCAAGUAGAACGAGUGGCGGACGGGUGAGUAAUGUCUGGGAAACUGCCUGAUGGAGGGGGAUAACUACUGGAAACGGUAGCUAAUACCGCAUACCAUCAGAUGUGCCCAGAUGGGCUUAGCUUGUUGGUGGGGUAACGGCUCACCAAGGCGACGAUCCCUAGCUGGUCUGAGAGGAUGACCAGCAACACUGGAACGGAGACACGGUCCAGACUCCGACGGGAGGCAGCAGUGGGGAAUAUUGCACAAUGGGCGCAAGCCUGAUGAAGCCAUGCCGCGUGUAGGAAGAGGGCCUUCGGGUUGGAAAGUACUUUCAGCGGGGAGGCGUUACCCGCAGAAGAAGCACCGGCUAACUCCGUGCCAGCAGCCGCGGUAAUUC
rnacentral:rRNA from 1 species